GAAAUGGCAAAAUCAUUGAAAAAUGGUGACGCAAAACUAUAGGGGCUAAGGAAUAAGUCUAGGCCAGCCAGUUUCCGA
rnacentral:ncRNA from 1 species